GACUUCAUGGUGUAAGUGGAAUCACAUCUGUCUAACACACCGAAGGUCCCCAAAUCGAAAUUGGGUGAAGUCA
rnacentral:tRNA from 1 species